ACCAAAUUUCUCCGAUUCAAAACAACCUAACGACCAAAAUAUACAAAACAAAAACCUCAAAAUCUCCACCAUCAAUGGCAAAUCACUGAGUUUUCACCUCCCACAACAUUUCCCACGACCGUCACCAAUGGCCGACUUCAAUAAUUUCUUCAACACAAACAAGAACACCACUACCCCGGCAACUAACAAGAUCAAAGAUAGCAACCAAGGGCUUCUGCUCGGCAAGUUCGAGAUCGGAAAGUUGCUGGGUCACGGCACAUUCGCUAAGGUCUACCAUGCUCGUAAUGUGAAAACAGGUGAUGGGGUUGCCAUCAAAGUUAUCGACAAGGAGAAGAUCCUAAAGGGUGGUCUUAUCGCUCACAUCAAGCGUGAAAUAUCAAUUCUCCGUCGGGUUCGUCAUCCGAACAUCGUUCAGCUUUUCGAGGUCAUGGCCACCAAGGCCAAGAUCUAUUUCGUUAUGGAGUACGUUCGCGGCGGAGAAUUGUUCAACAAAGUUGCUAAAGGAAGGUUAAAGGAGGAGGUGGCUCGGAAAUAUUUUCAGCAAUUAAUCUCUGCUGUUGGAUUUUGUCACGCUCGAGGCGUUUAUCACCGGGACUUGAAGCCCGAGAAUCUUUUGCUCGAUGAGAAUGGUGAUCUUAAAGUGUCUGAUUUCGGGCUAAGUGCUGUUUCUGAUCAAAUUCGGCAAGACGGGUUGUUCCAUACGUUUUGUGGGACGCCGGCUUACGUUGCGCCGGAGGUACUGGCGAGGAAAGGGUACGAUGCGGCAAAGGUGGAUAUCUGGUCUUGUGGAGUGAUUUUGUUCGUCUUGAUGGCCGGGUACUUACCGUUUCAUGACCAGAAUAUAAUGGCUAUGUACAAGAAGAUUUACAAGGGCGAGUUUAGGUGUCCGAGGUGGUUCUCUCCGGAGCUAAUUAAGCUUCUUACUCGCCUGCUCGAUACGAACCCCGAGACCCGAAUCACCAUUCCUGAGAUCAUGGAAAACAGAUGGUUCAAGAAGGGGUUUAAGCAUAUCAAGUUCUAUAUUGAAGAUGAUAAGCUUUGUAGCGUUAAAGACGAUGAGGAGGAAGAUGUGGGUUCAUCUUCUGACCAGUCAUCGUUGUCGGAAUCUGAGGCUGAGUUUGAGACGAGAAGAAAGACUGCUUCUUUGCCAAGACCAGCGAGUCUGAACGCCUUCGACAUCAUAUCGUUCUCGCCGGGGUUUGAUCUAUCUGGGUUGUUUGACGAAGGAGGAGAAGGGGCGAGAUUUGUGUCAGGUGCCCCUGUUUCGAAGAUUAUAUCGAAAUUGGAGGAGAUAGCGAAGUUGGUGAGUUUUACAGUGAGGAAAAAGGAUUGUAGAGUGAGCUUGGAGGGGUCUAGGCAAGGAGUGAAAGGCCCGUUGACGAUUGCAGCAGAGAUAUUUGAGUUAACACCUUCUCUGGUUGUUGUUGAGGUGACGAAGAAAGGAGGAGACAAAGGAGAAUAUGAGGACUUUUGUAACAAGGAACUAAAACCUGGGUUGGAGAAUUUGAUGCUGGAGAAGUCGUUAUCUUUACCUCCUCGUGUUGGUGUUGAAGCCGCUUCGUCUGCUACUUUACCCUCGGAUACUGAAUAGAAAGUUAUGACAUCAAUCUGGAUGGUCCAACCAAUUCCCAGGAGUCGGGGCUGCUUUUAUGAAACAAAAAUGAUAUUAUGACCUAUAUUGUGGAUAAGUUAACUGCAAUAUGAUCAAUACGUUGGAAAAAUCUGAUGUUGGAUCCUUACGUUCCAACACGUGGUAGCUCAUGCAUACGUUAACCACAAAGAAAGUCCUACCUAAUCAGAAAGGGAGUGUUCAUCAAGGCGGCCUAGCUAAUCUUUCGAUUUUAUUUAACCGAAAUCAUACAUAUCGUUGAUGGUUUCUGCAGCCAAAGUUAGUGUUUUGAAGAUGGGUUUGAGUUAUUGAUUGUGUACUGAGUAGAUUUUGAAAUGUAUACCAAUAUGCUUCAUGUUGAACUAAAUUUUAGGUUUAUAAUUAAGGAUUUGUUUGGUGGUAUAUAAAAUAUUCUUCAGUUAAGGCAUAAUGAGUUACAGAGAACCAACAGCUCAUUUUUUGCU